rnacentral:rRNA from 1 species
GACGAACGCUGGCGGCGUGCUUAACACAUGCAAGUCGAACGAUGAAGCCGGAGCUUGCUCUGGUGAAUUAGUGGCGAACGGGUGAGUAACACGUGGGUGAUCUGCCCUGCACUUCGGGAUAAGCCUGGGAAACUGGGUCUAAUACCGGAUAGGACCACUGCCUGCAUGGGUGGUGGUGGAAAGCUUUUGCGGUGUGGGGUGGGCCCGCGGCCUAUCAGCUUGAUGGUGGGGUGAUGGCCUACCAAGGCGACGACGGGUAGCCGGCCUGAGAGGGUGACCGGCCACACUGGGACUGAGAUACGGCCCAGACUCCUACGGGAGGCAGCAGUGGGGAAUAUUGCACAAUGGGCGCAAGCCUGAUGCAGCGACGCCGCGUGAGGGAUGACGGCCUUCGGGUUGUAAACCUCUUUCAGCACCGACGAAGCGCAAGUGACGGUAGGUGCAGAAGAAGGACCGGCCAACUACGUGCCAGCAGCCGCGGUAA